rnacentral:rRNA from 1 species
GACGGAGGGAGCUAGCGUUGUUCGGAAUGACUGGGCGUAAAGGGCGCGUAGGCGGUUUUUUAAGUGAGGCGUGAAAGCCCUGGGCUUAACCCAGGAGGUGCGUUUCAGACUGGAAGACUUGAGGACGAGAGAGGAAAGUGGAAUUCCUAGUGUAGAGGUGAAAUUCGUAGAUAUUAGGAAGAACACCAGUGGCGAAGGCGACUUUCUGGCUCGUAACUGACGCUGAGGCGCGAAAGCGUGGGGAGCGAACAGG